rnacentral:rRNA from 1 species
GACGAACGCUGGCGGCGUGCUUAACACAUGCAAGUCGAACGAAGUGGCGAACGGGUGAGUAACGCGUAAUCAACCUGCCCUUCAGAGGGGGACCACAGUUGGAAACGACUGCUAAUACCGCAUACUGAAGGCGGGGUUUGCGUGUGAUGAGCUAGUGGGAGGGGUAACGCCCCACCAAGGCGAUGAUCAGUAGCCGGUAAGAGAGACUGAACGGCCACAGUGGGAAGGAGACACGGCCAAGACUCCUACGGGAGGCAGCAGUGGGGAGUCGUUCGCACUGGACGAAAGUCUGACGGAGCAACGACGCGUGAGUGAUGACGGCCUUCGGGUUGUAAAGCUCUGUGAAUCGGGACGCGGUACCGGAAUAGAAAGCCACGGCUAACUACGUGCCAGCAGCCGCGGUAAUUC